rnacentral:rRNA from 1 species
CCAGCUCCAAUAGCGUAUAUUAAAGUUGUUGCAGUUAAAAAGCUCGUAGUUGGAUUUCUGGCCUGGUGCGCCCUGUCCGCCGCCGUCAGGCGCGUGAGUACGGGGUUGUGCCUGCCAUCCUUCCGGGGAGGCCGUCUGCUCUUCACUGAGUGGGCGGUCGACCUGGAUCGUUUACUUUGAAAAAAUUAGAGUGUUUAAAGCAGGCGUUUGCUGUGAAUACAUUAGCAUGGAAUAAUAAAAUAGGACUUUGGUUCUAUUUUGUUGGUUUCUAGGACUGAAGUAAUGAUUGAUAGGGACAGUUGGGGGUGCUAGUAUUCGGCGGCCAGAGGUGAAAUUCUUGGAUUCGCUGAAGACUAACUAAUGCGAAAGCAUUCACCAAGGAUGUCUUCU